rnacentral:rRNA from 1 species
CGACCGGCGAAAGGGUGAGUAACGCGUGAGCAACAUGCCCGACACGUGGGGAUAGUCGAUGGAAACGUCGCGUAACUACCCCGUAACACAGGAGGCCGCAUGACCUUCUGUUGAAAGAUUCAUUGGUGUCGGAUUGGCUCGCGUGCCAGUUAGGUAGACGGCGGGGUAACGGCCCACCGUGCCGACGAUGGCUAGGGUUCUGAGAGGAAGGUCCCCCACAUUGGAACUGAGACACGGUCCAGACUCCUACGGGAGGCAGCAGUGAGGAAUAUUGGACAAUGGCCGGAAGGCUGAUCCAGCCAUGCCCGCGUGCGGGAUGAAUGCCCUAUGGGUUGUAAACCGCUUUUGCCGGGGAGCAAUAAGGUCCACGUGUGGACCGACGAGAGUACCCGGCGAAUAAGCAUCGGCUAACUCCGUGCCAGCCGCCGC